ACAGAGGGUGCGAGCGUUGUCCGGAAUCACUGGGCGUAAAGGGCGCGUAGGCGGUCUGCUAAGCGUGUGGUGAAAGCUCGGGGCUCAACCCCGCGUCGGCCAUGCGAACUGGUGGACUGGAGCUUGUCAGAGGCAGGCGGAAUUCCUGGUGUAGCGGUGGAAUGCGCAGAUAUCAGGAGGAACACCGGUGGCGAAGGCGGGU
rnacentral:rRNA from 1 species